rnacentral:lncRNA from 1 species
AUAAUCCUCUUAGUCUAUGCUGACAUUAUCUUCAGCAGCUCAAACACUCUAAUGGCUAAUGGACAGACGGCUGCUUCUCACUCAGGGCUGCUGUUUAUGCUAAUGAGAUGGGCACUAGUGGGCGGGGCUUUCCCCCUCUGAUGAAGGGGAGAAUGUCAAUCAAAGUGCUUCAUUCAUCAAGUCUGAUUAUAAUGAAUACAAUUUAUUCAUGCUGACCAUUAGAGGCUGGAGAUAUUCACACACUGCUGACACACACAUGCACACACACACACACACACACACACACACACACACACACACACACACACACACACACACACACACACACUACUGGGUUUAAACGCCCUAUAGAAGUCAUUUGUGCAUGAUAGUUGCCCUUUAAGCUGAACUGGGCUGAAGAUUGAUUAAAUCAGUGAUUUCUCUGCACAUUUUAAUCACAUGUGUUGUGUUGAGCAGAUUUCCGCCGUCAGCGCUGAUGAUAGCAGUGGAGUGGGAGAUGUUUUCAUCCAGUCAUCAUGUUCCAGAUACAGUCAGAAAACAUCAAGUCCUGAUGCUUUACUGAAGGCAGGUUGUCCAGAAGAGCUCUGCGCUUCCCAUUGGCUUCCUGCGGCUGAUAAGAGAGGAAAACACACACGGAGCGUCUGAAAGCUUGAGCGCGGAGCAGCGUCAGGAAGAGAGGAGCAGAGCGCCUCCGUGGCCUUUGUAAUUUAAGGCAGAGGUCAAUCCUGGGCUUUACAAAGUGAGGAAGGCCCUCCACCCCACAGUAACCCUCCAAACACAAACACACACAGCUCUGGGCUUAGCCUUUCUCAUCAGCGCUUCAGAUCUGCUCAGCUGCACACUUACACUUCUGUUUUUCCUCCACAAGAAAAACACUGUAGUGCUUUUGAAACGGGCUGUAGUAAAACACUUGAAUGUCAUAACUUGAACACAACAGCAACUAUACUAGCAACACAACAACUAUUGUGAUUGAGUUUUUUUGUGGUGAUUCUAUACGACUGUACGACUGUAGUAAUUGAUCUUUUAUGAUUUCAUAGUUGCUAUAGUAACACAACAACUACUAUACUAGUAACAAAACAACUAUAUUAAUUUAUCGUUUGCAGUGAUUCUAUAGUUGCUAUGGUAACAACGACUAGUAAUCGAUCUGUUGGGGUGAUUUCAUAGUUGCUAUGGCAACAUCUAUAGUAAUCAAUCUCUUGUGGUGAUUCUACAGUUUUUAUAGUAACACAUCAACUAUACUAGUAACCGCGACUAUAUUAAUUGAUGUUUUGUGGUUCUAUAGUUGCUUUGGUAACAAUGACUAUAGUAAUAGCUCUUUUGUGGUGAUUUCAUAGUUGCUAUGGUAACACAGCAACUGUGCUAUUAACACAACGACUAUAAUAAUUUAUCUUUUGUUGUGAUUCGAUAGCUAUGGUAACAAUGACUAAAAUAAUUGAUGUUUUGUAGUGAUUCUACAAUUGCUAUGGUAACACAAAAACUAUUAUAGUAGGAACAAAAUGACAGUUAAUUAGCUUUUACAGUGAUAGUUGCUAUGGUAACAACAUCUAUAGUUAUUGAUCUUUGGUUGUGAUUCUACUGUUGUUAUGGUAACACAACGACUAUAGUAAUCGAUCUUUUGUGAUGAUUUCAUAGUUGUAAUGUAAUGUAAUGUGUGUUUAUAUAGUGCAUUUAUUGUGUAUGGCCAUACACCCAAAGCACUUCACAAUCAUGAGGGGGUCUCUCCACACCACCACCAGUGUGCAGCAUCCACUUGGAUGUUGCCAUGGUAACACUACAACUACUAUUCUAGUAACACAAAGACUAUAAUAAUUUUUUAUUGUUGUGAUUCUGUAGUUGCUAUGGUAACAACGACUAUAGUUAUCGAUCUUUUGUCGUGAUUCUACAGUUGUUAUGGUAACACAUCAACUAUACGUGUAACAACGACUAUAGUAAUAGAUCUUUUGUAGUGAUUCUAUAGUUGCUAUGGUAACUACUACUAUACCUGUAACACAAUGGGUACAUUAAUUUAUCUUUUGUAAUGAUUCUAUAGUUGCUAUGGUAACAAAGACUGUAGUGAUUGAUAUUCUGUGGUGGUUUCACAGUUGCCAUGGUACCGACAACUAUUGUUAUUUUUCUUUCGUUGUAACACAUCAACUGUACUAUUAACAUGACUAUAGUAAUCUUUUGUGGUAAUUCUAUAGUUGUUAUGGUAACAAUGACUGUAAUAAUUGAUGUUUUGUGGUGAUUUUAUAGUUGUUAUGGUAACAACGACUAUAGUAGUAACACAGUGACUAUAGUAAUGGACUUUUUAUGGUGAUUAAGUAUUUGCUUUGGUAACGACUGUAGUUCUUGAUCUUUGUUGUGAUUAUACAGUUGCUAUGGUAAUACGUAAACUAUCCUAGUAAUACAACAACUAUAGUAAUAGAUCUUUUUUGGCAGUUCUAUAGCUGCUAUGGUAACAUUGACUAAUAAUUGAUGUUUUGUGGUGAUUCCAUGGUUGCUAUGGUAACAAUGACUAUAGUAAUAGAUUUUUUGUGAUGAUUUCAUAGUUGCUAUGGGAACAACUACUAUACUAGUAACACAAUGACUAUAUUAGAAGUCGUUGCUAUUGGUAGCAACACCUAUAGUAAUUGAUCUUUUGUUGUGAUUCUACAGUUGUUAUGGUAAUGCAUCAACUAUACUAGUAACGCUGUGACUGUAGUAAUUGAUCUUUUGUAGUGAUUCUAUUGUUGCUAUGGUAACAACGACUUUAGUAUUUAUUUUGUAGUGAUUUCAUAGUUGCGUUGGUAGCCACGACUAUAGUAAUUGAUCUUUUGUUGUGAUUCUACCGUUGUUAUGGUAACAAUAAUUGUAGUUAGUAGUUGAUCUUUAGUGGUAAUUCUUUAGUUGCUAUGGUAACACAAGGCUAUUGUAAUAUAAACAAAUGACCCAAUAGUGUAGUUCUAUAGGGUAUAGUCUACAACAAUAAAACAUUGUUUACUGUAGUAAAAACUAUAGUACACUGCAUUAUUUAUUACAGUUUGUCAGUUCACUGUAGUUAAUAAGACAGAGCAUUCCUUAAAGAGUUGCAGAUGCAUUAAUGUGUUCAGUAGUACACUGAGUUUCUGUUUGGUUGAUGUGAUUGUUAUAUGACACACACAGCAGUGUGUAUUAGCGCCCAUUAAUUAACCAGUUUAGUGAUAGUAAUAGUAUCAGGGAUCUGCAGAUGGUCAGUGAUCCUCAUUGUUUAUAUUUUUCUCCAGCCGGUUUGUGUUAAAGGUUUUCAUUUUGCUCAACACCUUGCAGAAGUGUGUGCGUGUGUGCAUGCGUGUGUGCAUGCGUGUGUGCAUGCGUGUGUGUGUGUGUGCGUGCGUGUGUGUGUGUGUGUGUGUGUGUGUGUGUGUGUUAUUGAUUUAGUACAGGUGUUGUUGUGUAUGAUGUUGUUUGUGAGUGUGUAUUUGCAUGUGUGUGUAUAUUCCACUAACGUGCAGCGUGAGUGAGUGAGUGUGUGUGUGUGUGUGUGUGUGUGUGUGUGUUAUUGAUUUAGUUCAGGUGUUGUUGUGUAUGAUGUUGAUGUUUGUGAGUGUGUAUUUGCAUGUGUGUGUGUGUGUGUGUGUAUUCCACUAACGCGCAGCUUCAAUGUGUGUGAUAUUGACAGUUCAAGUGUGUGUGCGUGUGAGAGAUAUUGAUUUCAUUCAAGUGUCAUUGUGUAUGAUGUUGAUGUUUGUGAGCAUGUAUUUGAGUGUGUGUGUGUGUGUGUGUGUGUGUGUGUGUAUAUACCACUAACCCGCAGCUUCAGCGUGUAUGACCCUAUGACCGUUUAAGUGUGUGCGCAGUUAUGAUUUAGUUCAGGUGUUGUUGUGUAUGAUGUUGUUUGUGAGUGUGUAUUUGCAUGUGUGUGUAUAUUCCACUAACGUGCAGCGUGAGUGAGUGAGUGAGUGAGUGAGUGAGUGUGUGUGUGUGUGUGUGUGUGUGUGUGUGUGUGUGUGUGUGUGUGAUACUGAUUUAGUUCAGGUGUCAUAGUGUAUGAUGUUCGUGAGUCUGUGUGUGCGUGUACGUGUGUGUGUUUUAUGUGUGUGUGUGUGUUCCACUGACCCGCAGCUUCAGUCCAUCUGCAUUCUUGCACUUUGAACCAUAAACAUCCUCAUUUCAAAGAGUUUGGCAGGAAGUUUGCAGAGUUUUUCCCUUAUAUGUGCCACAGUCUAUUUCAAAUAUAAUCCUGCUGUGUUUCUCCAGCAUCUGAUCAGUCUAUAUACUGCAAUGCUGCAUCUCAUCUAAAGCGCUGGAUGUUCCUGCGGUGCAUUUGCACCGGUUUGCAUCACAGAGUCUUGACAGUCAGUCAGGAAAUAUACAUACACACAUGAAGAAUAAUGUAAUAUUUGCAGGAGUGAUAUGGGAGAGUGUUUGGAGUAAUGAGUUAAUGUAAAUUACAGAUCCACUGAAAAGCAAAGGGGUUAUGCUUCAUUAUUAUUAGUUAAUUAUACUUUACUUACCUUAAAGACUGUAAAUAACUUCAACAGUUCUGUAUAAAUCAGUUUAGAGAAGCAGAGGAAAUGUGUAAUGCAAAUAUAUUGAGCAUAAUAAUUAUAUUAUUAAACUAAAGAGGCUACAUUUAUUUAGAUUGCACAUGCUUAAUCAACAAUGAAUGAGUCAGGAAUUAAUAAUGUAUGAAACAGUGUGAUUGCAUUGAAAUAUUUAACGUUUUUAAUGCAUCUAAUGUUAUAUUUUUAGUUUUGCAGAGCAACUCUGUUAACUAAAGAAUGUCAUGUUAAAAUGCUUACAAUAUUUGAAUAAACUUUUAAUAAGCCCAAGUUUUACUCAAAUUUCUACAUUGAAUAGUUUUAUUUCUAUAGUCUAUGCAGAUUUUAAGCAUUUUCAGUGCUGAGUCAAGUGAUUACAUUACCCAAUGAGUAAUUAAAUACAUAUACUAGAUAGAAAAGUCGUUUAAAUACAGUUUUAAUUGUGUCAUUUCCUUCUUUUUUACCAACACUAUUAUGAUAAUGUUAUAUUAAUUGUCUGGGUAUUAAUAUCUGCUUUCUCCAGCAUCUGAUCAGGAUAUAAACGCCUGUACUUCAGUGCUGCAUCUCAUCUAAAGUGCUGGAUGUUCCUGCGGUGCAUUUGUACUGGUUUGCAUCACAGAGUCUUUACAGAUCCACUGAAAAAGCAAAGUAAGGGGUUAUGAUUCAUUAUUAUUAGUUAAAUAUACUGUUCUUGCCUUAAAUGCUGUAAAUAACUUCAAC